AGCCAGGUGGCUUAGAGGUAAAGGGCCUUGCCUCGUGUGCAAAAGGUUGUGGGUUCAAAUCCCACUGGUUG
rnacentral:tRNA from 1 species